AGCAGUCGCCGCGGGAAUACGGAGGAUCCAAGCGUUAUCCGGAAUCAUUGGGUUUAAAGGGUCCGUAGGCGGUCUUGUAAGUCAGUGGUGAAAGCCCAUCGCUCAACGGUGGAACGGCCAUUGAUACUGCAGGACUUGAAUUAUUGGGAAGUAACUAGAAUAUGUAGUGUAGCGGUGAAAUGCUUAGAGAUUACAUGGAAUACCAAUUGCGAAGGCAGGUUACUACCAAUUGAUUGACGCUGAUGGACGAAAGCGUGGGUAGCGAACAGGAUUAGAUACCCCUGUAGUCCCUGUCUCUUAUAC
rnacentral:rRNA from 1 species